UGGGGAAUAUUGGACAAUGGGGGCAACCCUGAUCCAGCCAUGCCGCGUGAGUGAUGAAGGCCUUCGGGUUGUAAAGCUCUUUUGUCAGGGAAGAUGAUGACGGUACCUGAAGAAUAAGCCCCGGCUAACUUCGUGCCAGCAGCCGCGGUAAUACGAAGGGGGCUAGCGUUGUUCGGAAUUACUGGGCGUAAAGGGUGCGUAGGUGGCUUAGUACGUCAGGAGUGAAAUCCCCAGGCUCAACCUGGGAAUUGCUUUUGAGACUACUAAGCUUGAGUACAGGAGAGGUGAGUGGAAUUCCCAGUGUAGAGGUAAAAUUCGUAGAUAUUGGGAGGAACACCAGUGGCGAAGGCGGCUCACUGGCCUGUAACUGACACUGAGGCACGAAAGCGUGGGGAGCAAACAGGAUUAGAUACCCGCGUAGUCC
rnacentral:rRNA from 1 species